rnacentral:tRNA from 1 species
UAUACUUUAAUGUAUGGUGCAUAAAAGAUUUUGAUUCUUUAAGAGAUAGUUUAAUUCUAUUGAGUAUAA